UCAGAGGAGGCAAAGGCCAGGAAUGAGAACAGUUCACAUAUGUAUCAUAACAUUCAAUACGCCUCACAGCCCCGAACGUCGCUCUUAAAGUGAAACCUCCGCUCCAGGAAAUCAUCGACAUCAGGGCAAAAUAUCAAAAUUUAAAGAAAGUUGUCCUCACUGAUUCCCCUGCAUUCAGACAGACGAUGACAAUUAUUAUUCAAAGUUGUUAUUGAGUUUGAGUGAAGUUGUGCAUUUGCAGUUGAGGGCCGGAUCAUGCUUCUUUUGGGCUGCAGGCUAAAGGAAAAGUGCCCUGAGAUUCUUCUGUUGAACUUCUACUGUUUCUCUUACAGUUUGCUGUUUGAACCCACCUCCUGUCAGAAAUUGGUUUCAACAUUUGACACACAGGGCUGUCAACACAUUUUGGAAGGCCCACUCGGCUCAUCAGUGAACCAAGAGGUUCCUCUUCAAACACAAGAAUCCAGAGUCGCUCGAGGAGAGGCAGAACAAAUUCCAAACUGUGACAAGCCCACGAUGUUUUCUUCCCAUAAUGCCCGUUGCUCUCUACAUACACAAUUUCAAACGUCCAACUCUGACUGGAGCUGCAAAUACCUGCAAGACAAACACUAUCUGACACGACUCUG